AUUGACUAAACCUAACUAGAAGCCAGAGGCCAAAGGAAUCUGUCGAUAUACAAGCUAGCUUCCCAGUGGAUGGAGCAGGAUGGAGAAGAGGAAGAACGGGCCUGGAGGGACAAAGAAAGGGUUAAAAGAAAAGGUCCAUCCACAUCGUGGCGCUGGGGAACGAGGGGGACACGUUCCACCAGGACAACCGGCCGUCGGGGCUCAUCCGCACUUACCUGGGGAGAAGCCCUCUGGUCUCCGGGGACGAGAGCAGCUUGUUGCUGAACGCGGCCAGCACGGUCGCGCGUCCGGUGUUCACCGAGUAUCAGGCCAGUGCGUUUGGGAAUGUCAAGCUGGUGGUCCACGACUGUCCCGUCUGGGACAUAUUUGACAGUGAUUGGUACACUUCUCGAAAUCUAAUUGGGGGCGCUGACAUCAUUGUGAUCAAAUACAACGUUAAUGACAAGUUUUCAUUCCAUGAAGUAAAGGAUAAUUAUAUUCCAGUGAUAAAAAGAGCAUUAAAUUCAGUUCCAGUAAUUAUUGCUGCUGUUGGUACCAGACAAAAUGAAGAGUUACCUUGUACAUGCCCACUAUGUACCUCAGACAGAGGAAGCUGUGUUAGUACAACUGAAGGGAUCCAACUUGCAAAAGAACUAGGAGCGACCUAUCUUGAACUCCACAGCCUUGAUGACUUCUACAUAGGAAAGUAUUUUGGAGGAGUGUUGGAGUAUUUUAUGAUUCAAGCCUUAAAUCAGAAGACAAGUGAAAAAAUGAAGAAAAGAAAAAUGAGCAACUCGUUUCAUGGAAUUAGACCACCUCAACUUGAACAACCAGAAAAAAUGCCUGUCUUAAAGGCUGAAGCGUCACAUUAUAACUCUGACUUAAAUAACUUGCUCUUCUGCUGCCAGUGUGUGGACGUGGUAUUUUACAACCCCGAUUUAAAGGAAGUUGUAGAGGCCCACAAGAUCGUUCUCUGCGCUGUAAGCCAUGUUUUCAUGCUGCUUUUCAAUGUGAAGAGUCCCACUGACAUUCAGGAUUCCAGUAUCAUCCGAACUACCCAGGAUCUUUUUGCUAUAAACAGAGAUACUGCAUUUCCAGGUGCUAGCCAUGAAUCUUCAGGCAACCCACCAUUACGAGUCAUUGUUAAAGACGCCCUCUUCUGUUCUUGUUUAUCAGACAUCCUUCGCUUCAUUUAUUCAGGUAUCUUGUCAAGUGGUUCUGGUUACUUACAAUCUCAUAAGCUUUGGAAAUGAAACAUGCCUGUGACGCUCAAGGGUACUGAUUAGUUUUACAGUGAUCUUUACCUACCAUCUCAGAUUAAGAUUAUACAUGGAAUAUUAUUUGCUUUAUAUAUAAGAAUUGGUCCAAGCUUUCUGUUUUCCUUACAGAUGUACUUGCCUCAUCUUUUUCCUAUCAAUUUCAUUUUAUUGUGGUAAAAUACAUAGAACAUAAAUUUUACUAUCUUAACCAUUUUUAAGAACACAGUUCAGUGGAAUUAAACACAUUCAUAAUGUUGUGUAACUAUCACCACC
rnacentral:sRNA from 1 species